GUAGGUGAACCUGCGGAAGGAUCAUUACCACAC
rnacentral:rRNA from 1 species